GGGAGAGGAUGGGGUCUGGUGGCCCUCACGGGCUUCAAACCCGAUGGCGGGUUGCUAACACAGCCCGUGGUAGGUUCGAUUCCUACCCCUCCC
rnacentral:tRNA from 1 species